GAGUCGCAGGGCCGUACGAAACCCGAAGGCGCAACGAAAGUGAAGGCCGCCCCCGAGGGCGGCUCGGGCGGGAUCCGCGGCGGAGAAAUCCGUCGCGGCGCACCGCCGGCCCGUCUCGGCCGCCGCGUCGGCGAGGCGGAGCAAGAGCGCGCGCGUUGGGACCCGAAAGAUGGUGAACUAUGCCCGAGCAGGACGAAGCCAGAGGAAACUCUGGUGGAGGUCCGCAGCGAUUCUGACGUGCAAAUCGAUCGUCGAACUUGGGUAUAGG
rnacentral:rRNA from 1 species